GAUGAAGAACGUAGCGAAAUGCGAUAAGUAAUGCGAAUUGCAGAAUCCGUGAGUCAUCGAAUCUUUGAACGCACAUUGCGCCCGCCAGAAUUCUGGCGGGCAUGCCUGUUCGAGCGUCAUUUCAACCCUCGAGCUCCCCUUGGGGAGCCCGGCGUUGGGGACCGGCAGUAACACCGCCGGCCCCGAAAUGGAGUGGCGGCCCCGUCCGCGGCGACCUCUGCGUAGUAAAUCCACUCGCACCGGGACCCGGGCGCGGCCACGCCGUAAAACACCCAACCUCCGAAUGUUGACCUCGAAUCAGGUAGGAAUACCCGCUGAACUUAAGCAUAUCAAUAAGCGGAGGA
rnacentral:misc_RNA from 1 species